rnacentral:lncRNA from 1 species
CAAUAUAUCCAUAUGUCCCGACCACUAGAGUUCUGUUGGAGGAAUCUGGAUGCAGGAGCCUAGCCAAACCAAAAUCAGCAACAAAUGCCUCUAGGUUUGAAUUAAGUAGAAUGUUAUUGCUGCAUAUGUCGCGGUGGACAAUUGGUGGCUUGCAGUCAUAAUGCAAGUAAGACAAAGCAUGAGCCAUACUCUUUACAAUGUUCACUCUCUUAGUCCAAUCCAGCUCAACAGCUUCAACGUCAUUGCGUAACACACAGAACAAGCUUCCCCGCUCCAUGUACUCAUAGAUCAAAAACAUGCACUUGUUAUGCAAACAAAAACCAUAAAGCUUCACUAUAUUACGAUGCCGUAUUUGGGAUAGUAGACGAGCUUCAGUUUGAAAACUUUCUAGGAAGGCUAGCUCCUCUGUCUCUGAACGGUGAAGUUUCUUCAAAGCGACUACUCUUCCACUAGACAAUUGUGCUCUGUAAACGCUGCCAUAACCUCCAGUUCCAAUGCAAUAUUUGAUGUGGAAAUCCUCUGUCGCUUGAAUCAUCUCUUCAAAUGUAAUUCUACCAUCAUAACUCCAUAUGGAGAACUCAUCAGCCCCCUUGGUCAUUUCUCGGGUAUUAGGACUAAUUUUCUCAUCCCUUCGUCUGUGGACAAACAAGAUUCCAAGAAUUAGGGCAAGAAAUGCGAACAUUGGAAGAACAAUCGUAACCAAGCGAGUGACGAUCUUUUGGUGUUGUUCUUUGUUGCCUUUAAAAUGUUGUGCUUGGUGUGGUGGUGCAUUUUCUGAAAUAACUGGGUUUUCUACCUCUAGAUUAUUUUCUGACCAUUUUAAUCCGGGCACUCUCAAGACAGAUUUGGGGAUAACGCCGGAGAGGUUAUUCUUGGAAAGAUCCACGGCAGAAAUGUUUGGAAUUUUUCCGAGUUGUGAAGGUAUCGUGCCAUUUAUGAAGUUACGGCUUAAAUCAAGUUGUCUCAAAAAUAUAAGGUUGCCUAUCUCCGAUGGAAUGCUUCCGCUUAAACUGUUGUGGGUUAAUACCAAGUUCAGUAACUGCGAGCAAUUCAUGAGUUGUAGAGGGAUGGAGCUGUUGAGCUGAUUGUAACCAAGAUUCAAAGAGGUGAGGUUCGUUAAAUAACCAAUUGUUGAAGGAAUAGGUCCAAUCAGAUUGUUCGUAUCAAGAGAUAGAGAAUCAAGGUUCCUCAGAUUUCCAACUUCUCGAGGCAGCAGACCACUAAGUUGGUUUGAAGAAAGAUCCAGAGAGGUUAAGUUGGUUAAAUUUCCUAUGGUCGGUGGAAUUGGACCAUUAAGUCUGUUGUGAGACAAGUCCAACUUUUCCAACGAGUUUAAAUAACCAAUGGUCGAAGGAAUAGGUCCAGUGAGAUUGUUCCUAUUUAGAAGCAGAGUCUUAAGAUUCUUCAUAUUUCCAACUUCUCUAGGCAGUGGACCGACAAGAUUGUUGUAAGCCAAGUACAAAACUCUUAACUGAUUUAAAUGAUAAAGUGUUGAAGGAAUAGGUCCAGUUAGAUUAUUAUUAUCUAGAUACAGAGAGAAAAGAUUCUUCAGAUUUCCAACUUCUCGAGGCAGCCGACCACUAAGUUUGUUUAGAGAAAGGUCCAAAAUUGUCAGCUUGGUUAAAUUACCUAUGCUCGAUGGGAUUAGACCAUCUAGUUUGUUACCUCGCAGAAUCAGGGAAUGAGGAUUCUUCAAAUUUCCAAUUUCUAAGGGGAUAGCACCAUUGAGAAUGUUAAAAGAUAGGCCCAGUACGACGAGAUUCCUCAAACUCCCGAUCGCCGAGGGGAUAGUACCUAUCGUAUAUAUACACAUGCAUAUGAUUAACUAACGAUAAAUGAGCAAUAUUAUCCAGUACCGAUAGGAAAUUAUUGUAUAUGCAAUGAAAUUAUUUAUAAUGGUUACCUGUAAGAAGGUUAUAGGACAGGUCAAGCUCCUCGAGUUUUGAAAGAGCACCAAUUUCUGAUGGUAUCCUUCCGGAGAGAAAACGAGUGCCCCAAAUUCUGAAAGUUACGAGGUUAGGAAAGCAAGUGAAGUUGAAUUGGCUAAGCUCUGCUGCGUUGCCAUUGUUUUCCAUCUCCUCAGAGUUUAUCUCGACUAUGCUUCCUGCUGAAUUGCAAGUGAUUCCCAUCCACUUGCAAUGAUCUGAAGUAUAGUUGGCCCUCGCCCGACUGCUAUUCCACCAGCCUGAAUUAAGUAAAGCUUCCCUUUCUAACUGAAUGGCUGACGAUGCAGCAGACGCUGUUACAACUGCAUUAUCAGUUGUAACAGGAGCAAUAAUACUGCUUAAAAAAGUUAUAAUGACUACCAAUUUUGAAAUGGAGGAAUCCGGUGCCAUUUUUAUAAGUUUUUGGUUGAUUAGAUUCAGCCAGUGCAUGCCUGCUUUUAUAACUAAACAUUAAGUUUGACAGCAACACUCAACCAUUUUUAGCCCGCGUCGAGCUUUCUCCCUCAUCGUCAAAAUUGGCAUACGCGUUAUCAAACACAAGGUCAGUUGAGUUAAUGUCCUUUUAGGCCACUAAUUGCUAUUUUUAAUUAAUUUCGCAAGUAAAGGCUACAUGUGAUUCAUAUUCUCGCAACUUUCUAUUUCCUUUCUUUACUUUUUAGUCCACUUUCCUUUCUCCUAAAUAUUUUUCUAGAAUGGGAGGAUUAUAUAUAUUCUAGUAACUUUUCUUUUUGGAAAAAAUUUUUAUGCCCGAAUUUAGAUCCCGACCGAAUUCCACCAAGUGUAUUUGUUUUAUUUUUUUAUUUUUUUGCCUUUACGGGUUCAGUUGGGAUUUAUGUUCCGGGCUAUAGCAUUGCUCCUUCUUUUGUGUCACUUUCCUCCAUCAUCAAAAUAUCGGAUAAUCUUGAGAAAUUUUAAAAUUUAUCCUUACUUAACAAAGAAUUAGGCCCAAUACCAUAUUGUCGCCAAAUCUCAAAGGAGAAUUUUCUAUUUUUCUAGUAAAACAUAUUCUAUAAUUUACAGUAAUUAUCUAUUGGUAAUGCUAAUAGUUUUUUACACUAAACAAUAUUUUCAGACCCAAGUCAACACAAUUCUAAAAAUAAAGUAAAUAUUUUUUCCAUUCAUACGGAAAAAAUAAAAAUUACCAAGUUCAUCAAUACUCAUAUCAUUUAUCAUCAUCCGAAGCUAUACUUGCAUCAUCAAUUGUCGAUCUACAAAAGAGAAAUCAAAGAUGUUAAAAAUAUUUCUAAUAAUUAAAUAUAAAGACUGGUACCUAGGUGUUUGAAUUUAAAAAAAAAAUCAUUAAAAAAUUAUCUUUCAAGUAAUAUAUAAUUUUGUUGUGUAUUAUAUACUACAUUAAUGAUGUAUUCUAAAUAGAUGAAGUCCGCUCCCAAAUGGUGAUUGAUAUCUAUAUCUAAAUGUGUCUUAUAUAUUUCAAGAGAAAAUUUUACCUAUACUCUUAAGGUUUGGCGGAAAUGACAUGCAUGAACCUUACCUUACAAUAUAACCUCAUGAUUGCAUUUUGCUGGAUAUUAUAUAAUAAAUUAAUUCCGUUGUCUAUUAUAUUCUAUAUUAAUGAUGUAUUCCAAGUAGAUGAAACUCACUCUCAAGUAGGGUCCAAUAUGGCCGUAUUCAUGUGUCUUACAAUUUCACCGAAACAAAUUUUGGGGGGGGUUUAAGUUUCUUUUUCCUUUAUAUUUAUAUUUAUGAGAAUUAAUAAUUCUAACCAGCUGUCAUUUUAGUUGUGUUUAAAAUUGAUGUAUCAAAAAUAUGGAAAAUAGAUGGAAAAAUUUUCAAAUAAUACCCCGUCACAGAGAUAAUGUAGACUGACAUGUUUAAACAUAUAAACUCGUCAGUCGCCAAUUACUUGAAACCCACGGCCACGUCUAUUAGACAAUUAAAAAAAAGAAAUAACUUGUGUACUGUGGAUUCACACAUGAGGCUUAAUAAAUCGGCAUAUAUGUCACUUGUGAAACUCAAAGGAAUACCAAUUAAUUCACGUUAGAAAAGUGUUUUAUUUUGUAAUAAAUUAAUUUCGUUGUCUAUUAUAUACUACAUUAAUAGAUGAAACUCACUCUCAAGUAGUGUCCAAUACGGCGAUGUCUAUGUGUCUUACAAUUUCACUGAAACAAAUUUUGCGGAGGUUUUAAGUUCCUUUUUCAUUUAUAUUUAUAUUUAUGAGAAUUAAUAAUUCUAACCAGCUGUCAUUUUAGUUGUGUUUAAAAUUGAUGUUUCAAAAAUCUGGAAAAUAGAUGGAAGAAUUUUCAAAUGAUACCCCCGUCAAAGGGAUAAUUUAGACUGACACGUUUAAACAUUUGAACUCGUCAGUUGCCAAAUACUUGAAACCCACGGCCACGUCUAUUAGACAAUUUUGAAAAAAAAAAAAAAAAAAACCAAAGACUCAUGUGCUGGGAAUUCACACAUGAGGCUUAAUUAAUCAGCAUAUAUGUCACUUGUGAAACUCAAAGGACUACCAAUUAAUUCACGUUAGAAAAGUCUUUUUUUUUUUUAAUAAUUUUUUGAAUUAAAAGACAAGGAUUUAAUCAAACAAAAUUCAGUCGGACGAAAUUUAUACAAACUACCAUGAGCAAAAUACAUUCAAGAUUAACAAUCACAUUAAUCUAGCAUCCUUUUUUUUACUCCUUUCUCUUUUUCUUUCUUUACUUUUUAGGCCGCUUUCCUUUCUCCAAAUUACUUUUCUUGAUUUUCCACAGAACACAUCAAAACAUUGGACCACCUUGAGAGUCAAGAAAUAUUAAAUUUUUGGAGUCUACAAAAAAAUUAAAUAUUUUUGUCAUAAUUUGUAGACUUUUGUUCUUCUAUCAUUUUCGCAAAUUUAUUGAGAAACCACCAUAUUUAAGCAAAAGUCAUAUAGAAUUUUUUUUUUUAUAUUUUUUAUGAUGCACAAAGGACGACUGUUCUUAAAAGUUUAACUGAGCAAUUUUUUAAUUAUUUUAUUUAACUGGUUAUCCAAGUUCGAAUUCCAGAUGACUCUAACCCUAAAACCAGAUGUGGGGUACUCACAUCCCCCAUAUGUCCGUUGAAAAUAGGGUUGGCAAAACCUCGGGUCGGGUCCGGGUAUCGCAAUGACCAGACUUGACCCAAAUGCAUAGAUUCCAGGGCCGAGUUGUGCCGGGCUUUAAUCCGAGUACCCGGAUUUUAUAUUUUUUAAUAUUAUAUGUGUAUAUUUUUUUAUUUUUUGGUAAUUGUAUAAGUUUUAACUUUAUUUUAAUAAAAAUUGACAUGAAAAUAUGAACUUUAAGUGUUUAAAACUUUAUAUAUAUGUAAUAAAUGAGUCAAAUAAAUAUAAAUAUUUAAAAUAAUAUAUAUUUUAUAAUUUUUUUUAAUAAAAUCCGAGUUCCGGGUUUAUCAAGUGAUGCUCAAGACCGGCCCGGCUUCAUAUUACCCGGCCCAAAAUGCCUGGGUGCGGUCUGGGUCCGGACCGGACGAGUAUUUUUGCCACCCCUAAUUGAAAAGGGCAAAUUUUGUUUUCAACUAAGCAGCCCCUUUGUGGCUUGUAUCGAUGUACGUUUAACAUUGUCGCUCUAAUUUGAUCCUAAUAUGCACUAAUGCAAAACAAUAUGCAAUGGAACUUUGUGAACUUACGGUAACAAUUUAUUUAAACUUAUGCAAACUACUUAACUGACCAGUCAAAUAGAGUAUCAAAUAAAAUUUUAAUAUUUGGUUAAGAGACCACAAGAGUUCAUAAAUAUAUUUUUUUUUUACCAAUUAAGAAGAUUAAAAUGAACGGCAUAUUUUGUACAGAAUUAAUAUUCGUAUUCAAAUUUAACAAUAUAGUGGGCUUUUCAAAUUUCAAAUGUGUAGAUGGGGCUAAAUGCCUAAACCACAACUUUCCUUAUUAUUUUCAUUGAAUCAUCAUAACUCUGAAAAUUCAAAUUUGAAAAUAUUUUCUGACUCUCUUCUUCAUCAUUUAGUUUAUACUUCAACUGACCAUUAGAGGCAAUCAAAAGGGUUAGAAAGUAAUUACUAUCAAUAUUUGUGUACUUCAGAAUUUGAACCUUAAUGAGCAAUUAACCAAGAGUUGUUAAUUUCUCUUCCUUUCCAAAAUUCUGUUAGAAUUGUCAAUUGUUACGGCAUAUGGGUGUAAAGAUUUUUUGAUAAUAAAAGUUAAAAUUAUGGGGUGGGUUUUUAUAAGAAUUUUGGAGGGGUGUAAGAAGGUCCACUCUACUCAUAAAUGAAGCCAUGACUUGGAGAAAUGGAAUACGGAGCCCAUUAACCUUAAAGGCCUUAAACAAACCCAACAUGCUUUAAAGUGAUAAUUAAGAUGUGAGACAAGCUCGCUCUAUCACUGAAGCAUGUUCGGUUUAUUAUACGUUGUAAACCCAUCAAUUUUUGAAGUUGUUUACUAUUGCAUUUCAUCUAAAACCUGUAUUUGGUUUAUUAUACGUUGUUUUCAAAGUCGUUGACAAUCGACGGGGCGAUACCGAAAUAGAUAGUCCUAGCCUCCUAGGCGCGCGCGCGCAAAAGAAAAAAAAAAGGAUAAUGUAUUACAAGAUCACUGAUGCAUGGAAGAUCCUAGUUUUGUAGUGAGAGUAAAAGAAUUGAGCUUGAAACUAUUUUUUUGCUCAUUUUUUUAAUGAAACGCUUCAAAGAAAACAUAGAUGGCGGGAAGCAAAAUGGUUGAAGUAAGCAAGCUGUGCAGUGAGAACUGGAGGCACAUCACGAUUCACGCAUGAAUAGAAUUUGUGUGUAUGUGUGUGUGUGUGUGUGUGUGUUAAUAAGCCGAGGAUUGAUUCAGGCUGGCAAAAAUAUUAUUCAUAGUCAUUGUCAUUGUAGUGUAGUAUACCUUUAUUCUUAACUAGAUGUUAGUCCUUAUCUCCCCCAAGAUUCGACCACAAGUGGCUAGUUAUAGAAAGCUUCUUUUUUUUUUUAAUUUAAAACCACCAGAGUGGUGGGGGGUUAGCCGGGACCCCUACCUGUAAUAUAAAUCUGAAAAUGAAUCAGAUACAAAGGAGGGAGACAUGAGAUACAAGAAAAGGCUUAUCUGGUAUAGGGGAUUGCAUGGGCAUCCAAGUAAAGAAUACCAGAUAAGCCUUUGAGAAGCUCCCGAGGAGAUUAAAAACGUCGGCUAGUCCGAUGAGUGCACGCCCAGUUGGCUAGAAAAUCAGCAGCAAAAGUAGCCUCGCAAAGAACAUCUCUCACCUAAAUGGGGAAUGACGUUACCAAACGACACACCUAGCGCAGAGAAUAAGAAUACUCCCAUCGUAAAGGACCCUGGGUGUGAAUUCAUGACACCACCGUAGCCGAGUCCGACUCAACCUCAAGCACUGAAUACCCAAGCUGAAUGGCAAGCUCCAAACCCUCGCACACCGCCAUGAGCUCAGCAUAUAAGAUCGGCUUGUAGCCCAAAAAGGAUAUAAAAGCCGUUAAAACCACACCCUGGUGAUCCCGAAGAGUACCCCUGGAAGCAACCAUCUUAGGGUUGCCCCUAGAGCAACCAUCCACAAUAAGCUUAGCCACCCUUGGGGGCGGCCUCGUCCAAGCAACUAGACGAAUCGACCUCCUAGGGGGAGUUGUUGAGUGUUAGAAAAUGUAUAUUUAUAAAGGAGAAAAUCGUCAUUUUACAUUUCACGUCUUACUAACAACCCUUACUUUUAUGUAUUUAAGUUUCUUGUAAUUUAAUUAUGUGUGUUUUAUUUUAAUUAAGUAUUUUAUGUAUUUUAGGGGCAUCAUGGUCAUUUCACAAUAAACGAGAGAUCAGACUGCAAAACGGACAUCACUUUUGAACUCAGGACGAUUGAAAACCUUAGGAGGAGCAUAAAAGGAAAAAUGGCACUGUUCACAUGUACGGUACUGUCUACGUUACUGUUCACGACACUGUUCACAUAGACGGAUCGAUGACGUGGCAUUGACCGAUGAUGUGGCAUUGACUGAUAAGGUGUCACGAUCCUGUUGGACUAAAAUUCUUAUGUAUUGUUGAUGGUGACGUGGCAGCAUAUCAGUGGACAAAAAUCUCACGUACAGUACAUGCAUCACGCAUGAUUAUUUUCAACCAAACUGUGUUACUGUUCAACCCGGGUCAAACUGUGUUACUGUUCAUCCGCGUGGUCAAACUGCGUACUGUUGACUGAUGACGUGGCGCAAUCCUGAGCGUCCAAACUGUUUUUAAUCCGAUGGCCACGAUUUACUCAAUGUAUCUAUAAAAAGGGGGCCUUCCCCCCCUAAUUGGAUAUCUCUGAAUCCAUUUUUGGACUCCAUUUUCUGAAAUUCCUUCUCCAUCUUGUAUUUUCUACGUAUUUUAAUAAAUUCUCAUUUUGCCCCUAGUUCAAUUAUGAGUAGCUAAUUUUCUUUCAAGCUUGGGUUGAAAAUGAAGUCUCAACAUGUGUCAUGGGCUUUAUUUGGUAAAUUUACUUUCUCUUCCCCUCUAAUUUUUGUGGAUGUUUUGACUUCUCGUCGACAAAUAAUACUAAUCUUGUCUAGUACCGUCUCGGUUUCACCGGCCCCCUAGUACAAUGUUAUUAUUAUUUGGCACGAUAAGCCCUUAGCACCAUAUUGAUUAGAGCGUGGUUCAUGAGGUGUGGAUUCCCCCCUCAUGAUUUAAUUGGCAUUAAUAAGGAUUAUUUAGCUCAUGAUGCAUAUUGAUACGGAUCCAGAUACCUAAGUACGUCAUCUCAAUAGAUUUCUCUUCAAUUUAUUCUCGCCAUUUCAAUUUCAAUUUUAGAAUUUAUUCUCGUCAUUUCAAUUUCAAUUUUAGGAUAAUCCAAAUCAUUUUCACCACAAAUCCAACCACCCAUUUACAAAAUUAAUUCUACACACAAUUAAAAUCCACCUCUUCGUGGGAUCGACACUCGUCAUCAUUAGUCUAUUCUACAAUAGAUUCGUGCGCUUGCGAGUUCAAUAAAAUUUGCACAACAAGAGUCAUAACUCGCAAGCCCUUCGCAAUACGAGAACCCAAGACUCCCCUCAGUUAGGGAGGCUUGAAUCCAAAAGCAGAACUAGCGAGCCUGAGAUCAGAGUCAACCUGAUAGAUAAUCGCAUCAGAGGAGAAAGACUAUGAAUUAAACCGGAAAGCAUUUCGGACCUUCCAAAUUUGCCACAAAAAGCAUGGCAGAAGGACCCGAAGAUGAUUCCGAGAAGGUGCACAAUGUCUCCAAAAUAAAAGUAAAGCACGGGGAGAUAGAAAACCAAGCUCUCACAUCCCCAGGAUUCGCUGGUAGUGAACCCAAAUAUGAUUGGCCCGUGGACAAUUCACAAAUAGGUGCCGAGAAGUCUCAGCAACCCACCCACAAACACACUAAGAAACUAUAGAGAAACCCCUCGAGCAUAAGGCAUCAUUAGUAGCUAGGAAUCUGUGUUGUAGCUACCAGAGAAAAAAAGAAACUCGUGAUGGGAUAUGCCUCUGCCAAAUCAUCGAGAAAAGCUCAUCCAUCGGCCUAGAGCACCGUACAAGCUCUCAAGCUGUCCGCAAGUGAAACAUGCCAUCGGGGGUAAGGUCCCAACGAAUUAGGUCAGGAUUCCCACUAGAAAUAGACACUAAUAGGAUCUGCUCAAUAAUAGAUGAAGGCAAAACGUCCUCUAAUUUGCCUCUGUCCCAGACUGUACCCUGCUAAAAGAACGAGACCGGCACCGACGAAGCCGCUGUAGGGUUAUAAAAAAAUAGAGGGCAAGAACUUAGCCAGCAAUCAUACCAGAAGCUAUAAUCUCCACUCCCAAUGAGCCAAUGCACAUGAGGUCCAGCCGUGCAACGAAUCUUACAAAGGCGUCUCUAUAGAGGAGAGGCAGGAUAGCGAAACUAGAUCAAGCUCGGAUGCGUAGAUCUGCAAUACUUGGACUUCAUAUAGGAAGCGCAUAACGAACUCUGCUGACAAAACUGCCACCAAAGUUUAAUCUCAAAAGCCUCCUCCAUAUCAUCAAAAGAUCGUAUGCCAAGGCUACCCUCGUCAACUGGAUAACAAACCUUCGGCCAUCUACACCAGUAGAUCCGGCGCCUUCCCUCAGAAUCACCCCAUAGGAAUUGGGUGAACAAUCGCUCUAGGCACUGAACUACCAUUACAAGAGGACGAAGGACGUGAAAUAAGUACAGGGGCAUAGAGGAUAACACAUGGCGAAUGAGGACCAGCUUCCCAUAAAAAGAAAGCAGACAGUUAUCCCAACCGGAAAUCUUAUCCCUGACCUUCCGGACCAUGUCAUCAAAAUGGGAGAUCUUUAGGUGCCUGAGAUAAGUAAACAGAAGCUGACGCUGCUGAAAGCUAGUAACAAAGUGAACAAGGGCCUGGCGGGAGGCCGAAGCCGACUUCCUAAUGUAGGAGUUACUCUUGUCCUGGUUAAUCAACUGCCCCGAGAUCGCCUCAUAAUGGUGCAAGAAAUCCAUAAGCUGCUGUAAGCUAGGUUGGCUCCCAUUUGCAAAAAUAAUAAUAUAAUCCGCAAAGCUCAAAUGGGAGAUAGAAGUAGGUGCAGUUGAACAAUACCGGACCGAGGGAUAUGGAGAAUACAAAUGAUCCAAUUCUCGAGAGAAAAAUUCUGCAGCAAUAAUAAACAAGCACAAGGAAAGAGGAUCACCUUGCCGAAGACCCCUCUGGGACUGGAAGUAUCCUUGACUGACCCUAUUCACAAGCACUGAAAACCAAGGGUCGUAAAUCACUCGCCGAAUCAAAGAAAUCCAAUGCUCCGAGAACCUAAAACAGCGAAUCAUCUGAAGCAUAAAAGGCCAUGACAUAUGAUCGUACGCCUUGGCCAUAUCUAAUUUCAGCACCACAGUGUUCCCUCGAGUAUGGCGAUUAAGAUCCUGAACAAGCUCCUGAACCAGGAGCACGUUAUCAUGAAUCACUCGACCAGGAACAAAGCCACUCUGAGUAGGAGAAAUAAUGCGAGGUAGGAGAGGGGGCAAUCUCUAGACAAGCAACUUGGUAAGGACCUUGUUGUUCACGUUACAAAGACUAAUCGGACGGAAAUCAGCCCAAGAAUCCACAGAAUCCUUCUUAGGCAGAAGGACCAAUAAAGUACUCUAGAAACCUCUGGGCAUAGCCGAACCUCUGAAAUAAUCAAGGACAACAUCUAACAAGUCACGGCAAAUGAUGUCCCAACACGACUGAUAGAAUCUGCUAAUUAUAUAAGUUAUUUAAAAAUCAUUCGGACAAACUUUUAGUGACAAUUGAACAUAAAUUUAACUUUAAUUAAAAAAGUUCGACACCGCUUUAAUAGAAUGGAGAACGUUUAUUUUGCCCUAGGGAAAAUGCACAACAAGUUCUUUUACAGACUCCGUAACCAAAUUAGACAAGUAAAUAAUCAAUGACGGAAUUAAGAGCUUGGUUUAACAAGGUCAGCAUGAAGAAACUACAAAUUUGAGGUUAAAAAUUUAGAAAUAGAGGCCAAAACAUAAGAUUUUCAAAGAAUGACUAGAUUUCAAUUAGAUCCCAGGGAACAUUAACCCAGUUUACUGCUUGUCGUAGAACUCUUUGUUUACAUGAAUUAAUGUUUAAUAGCCUUUAGUAUCUCAAGCUUGACCCUUGCAGCUAUCUAUUAGUUCAUUUAAUUAAUAACUUGUACGUAUUAACAGCUACUGAAGUAGAAAAUGCCCGCGACUAGUGCAUUAGUUUCUUUAAAAUCCGGAGACAAAGAGUUGUUCUGAUUAUUUUAUAAUUUUUUUUUUCACAUGAGACACCAUUCAAGACAAUGUCCAUGUGGUGUGAAGGCCAAAAUGCCCGUGAACCAGUCAAUUUUUGUCUUUUUCAGCAUUUUAAUAUAAUCACUUUGUAUUUAAAUUACUAUUUGAUCGAUUAAAAUUUCAAUAAUUUUACAGCUAACCAUGUAUUUUUUAACCAUAAUUCCCAGCUUCCCUUCUAUAUAUAUAAGUCGGCAUCAGCUGAUCAGCAUGAAUUAAGAGUUCAUAACCAAACUGAAAUAGAUAUCCAAAGUUUAGCGUUACUGAGAAAUAUGAGUUCUAGGAUUUAUUUUAUGCUCAUCGCGAUAUUUACUGUCGCUGGAGUUUUGCAAUUUUCCGGCCAAGUUUCUGGCGCACAACAUUGUGGAAUGAAUACAAAUGUUCUUGGCCAGCUUGUAUCACAAUGUGAGAAAUAUGUGUUGAAAUCGGGGCCGAAGAUUCGGCCAUCUCCUAGUUGUUGUGCGGUUGUGAAGAAGUUGAUGUGCCAUGUGUGUGCACGUUUGUCACAAAGCAGAUUGAAGAAAUUGUAAGUAUUGAGAAGAUGGUUUAUGUGGCCAGGUCAUGUGGCAUAAAGAUUUCUGCCGGGACAAAAUGUGGAAGUAAGUAAAUAACAUUCCUCGUGCAAUUACCAAUAAAUUCUAUUAAGAAUGAUAAUGCACUUCUCAAAUAGUAUCUCGACUUUAUUUCUCAUAAGUGAUGCGACAUUUAUCUGUAAAAUAAUAAUAUGAACUAAUAAGUAAUUUUAUAGGUUCAUGAAACUGGCAUUCAAUUGAUGAUCAUAUAUCAUCUCAGUAUGUUCAUAUUCUCAAAGUUCUUCACAUCUUUUUAUUUCAAAUUGAAAGAUAAUAAACGCACUCUAGUUAUCUUUCAAUUAAUGAAUGAUGUUGAAAAGUCAAAGAAGAGCUUGCCAAUUUCAAGGUUGGUAGCACGAUUCAACAAAUUGUUGGUUACACCAACAAUUGUAGAGAUUUUUCAAGCCGAAAAGAAAGAAUGGACAAAGGGGAUGGAUUUGGAAAAUAAUAAUAAUUAAAAAUUAUAUUUUUAAUUAUUUUAUUCUUUGCAUAGUAAUUCAUUUCUCCUAUAAAUAGCUAAGGAUUUCAUUCAUUUGAAAUCAUCCCAAAAUUGUUAAGCUUAUAAGUUUCUAAGCUUUUGAGAGAAGUAAGAGAAGUGAGAGAAGUGUGUCUGGGGAAUUUAUCUUUCCUGCAGAGUGUGAGAGUACUGGGUAUAUUUGGGUUUAUGGGGAGUGAGAUUCGUUACUCAAAUAUUGUAUUAUAUUAAUUGUUAAAUAAACAAUUAUUCUUUUUUGCCUCCGUGGAUGUAGGUUUAAUUACCGAACCACGUAAAUUCUUGUGUCAUUUAUUUUUUCAGUAAUUUUUUGGUGCGCUUGAUUCCGCAUUCCGCGCACAACAAGUGGUAUCAGAGCCGACGGUUCGUACUUGGGGGGAUACGGUACUGUUCACGUAUACGGAACUAUUCCCGUAUACGGUACUGUUCACAUACAGUAUUGUUCACGAAUACGGUGGAGACGGCCAUUUGUACUUGGGAGACAGUCUAUUGUAAGUAGUGUGUAUUUUUGCAUGUCUAGGAAAGUUCUGUCAAUAAAGGCGAUAAGAGUCUAAGGAUUCUGGUUUUUAAUUGGGACCGAGUUCCCGUCCAGUUUCCUGAGAACUUUCCUGGUGCAUUUAUUCACGCGAAAUUAACAUCAUAGAGGCUGUUUUUCAAGUGGAAAUAGUUCGUUGAAAAAAUGGUAGAAGGUGAAACUUCCAGAAUUGGGGAGAGAUCUACCGAGACUAUUUCAGGAGACACUUUAGGUGGGAGGCGAGAUUUGUCAAAUCGCUAUUCAGCACCUGUUAUAGGAGGCCAGAAGAUCGAUGUUGAAAAGUUUGAUGGGAAAAUCAACUUCGGCAUGUGGAGGCGCGAAGUUAUGGAUGCCCUUAUUCAAAUCGAUCUCGAUGUUGUCCUGAAAAAUAAAAGACACUUGUAUGAUGAAGAAAUUUGGGAUCGUAUGAACGAGAAAGCCCUUGGUCAGAUCAGAUCUUGUUUGACCAAGGAGGUGAAAUACUUGGUGAAAGAUGAGGAGUGUGCAGUGACUUUGUGGCGUACAUUGGAAGAGAAGUACCUGGUGAAAAGUCCUGAAAAUCGUCUUCAUGCAAUGAGCCAAGUAUAUGGCUUUCGAAUGAAGUCUGGGGUGUCAAUGCACGAUCAUGUUUCAAGAUUUGAAAAGUUACUUGCUGAUUUGAAGAAUCUUGAUGAAGAUAUUAAAGAUGAAGUCAAGGCUAUGAUUCUGUUACACUCACUACUAGAGGAAUAUAGCCAUUUUGUGACUACUUUGAUAUAUGGGAAGAGUGUGAUCGUCUUUAAAGAUGUUUGCACAGCAUUGACUAGUUUGGAGAUUCGGAAUAAUGAUAAAAAUUCUGAACGAGCAUCGUCUGAAGCUUUGGUGAGCAGAGAUUGGGCGAUGGAGAAACAGAAGAAGCGUGGUGGAAAGAAUUCUCGAUCCAAAUCGAGAAGCAGAAAUAUAGCUCGAGAUGAGUGUGCCUUUUGUCAUGAAAAGGGCCAUUGGAGAAAAGAUUGUCCAAAGGCUCAAAAGAGAGAUGGGAAGAAACCAGCAGCAGCAAACAUGGCACGGAAAGAUGAGAACUCUGAUUAUUCACUAAGUAUUACUCCUGCAGCAUAUGUGGCUAGUUCGAGUGAGUGGAUACUUGAUAUUGGAGCAACCUAUCAUUUGUGUCCUAUUAAGGAAUGGUUUACGGAUUUUCGUAAUCUGGAAUCCGGUGCAGUUAUGAUGGGGAAUAAUCAACCUUGUCGCACAAUGGGGAUAGGAACAAUUCGGCUCAAAAUGUUUGAUGGAAUGGUCAGAGAACUCAAAGAGGUUAGAUUUGUUCCAGAGAUAAAGAAAAAUCUAAUUUCUGUGGGUGCUUUGGAAGCUAAAGGUCACAAAGUUACCAUUGAAGAUAGCACAAUGAAGUUUACACAUGGGGCUAUGGUGAUUCUGCAAGGGGUUCGGCGUCACAAUCUGUACUAUUUGAAGGGAGGUACAACUGAUGAAGCAAAUGUUGUUGAGGCGCACAGUGACACCACCAAGCUAUGGCAUGUACGACUGGGACAUGCAGGAGAGAAGUCUUUGCAAACUCUGAUGAGGCAUGGACUCUUAAAAGGUACCAAAACCUGUAAAUUAAAUUUCUGUGAGCAUUGUGUAGUAGGCAAGAAAACAAGGGUCAAGUUUGGUACAGCUAAUCACGAUACUCGUGAGAUCCUUGAAUAUGUUCAUAGUGAUGUAUGGGGACCAACCAAGACUGCAUCAAUUGGUGGAAGCCAUUAUUUUGUUAUAUUUGUUGAUGAUUUCUCUAGACGUGUAUGGGUGUACACCAUGCGAGCAAAGGAUGAGGUUCUAGAGAUUUUCGUGAAGUGGAAGAAAUUGGUGGAGACUCAAACUGGCAGAAAGAUUAAAGUAUUACGAUCUGAUAAUGGGGGUGAAUAUACUUCUGAUCCAUUCUUGCAAAUAUGCCAGAACGAGGGUAUUAAAAGACAUUUCACGGUGAGACAUACUCCGCAACAGAACAGUGUGGCUGAGCGUAUGAAUCGUACUUUACUGGAGAAGGUACGAUGUAUGUUAUCUAAUGCUGGUUUAGAUAAAAAGUUUUGGGCUGAAACUGUGAGCUACGCAAGUCACUUGGUAAAUCGGUUGCCUUCUGCUGCAAUUGGAGGUAAAACUCCUAUGGAAAUGUGGUCUGGAAAGCAUGCACAAGACUAUGAUUCCCUUCGUGUAUUCGGGUGUCCAGCUUAUUAUCAUGUCAAAGAUGGUAAACUGGAUCCUCAUGCUAGAAAAUCUAUCUUUGUGGGAUUCAAAGGUGGAGUAAAGGGCUUCAAGCUUUGGGAUCUCGAAGAAAAAAAGUUUGUGUGUAGCAGAGAUGUCACAUUUGAUGAAGCUUCAAUGAUAAAAGCUUCAAGUUCUCAGCAGGUGGAGAACAAGACCACAGAGGUAUUGCAGCGGGUGGAGUUUGAUGCAACUCCAUAUGUACCAGUUAGUUCUACAUCAAAGAAUGGUUCAACUAUGGAGGUGACACCUAAAGUUGAAGAAGAGAUUGUUUCUUCUGAUGUCCCACAAAAUGAAGAAACAAUUGAUGAUGUAGAUGAUGAUGAUUUUAUAACAACAAGGAGGCCAAGAAGAGAGAUAAAGAAACCCAGAUGGCUUACUAAAGAUAUGGUGGUAGCCUAUGCACUUCCAGUUAUUGAUGAUGACAUCCCCAAUACUUUCGGUGAAGCAUUACGCAGCAAUGAAAGUGAUAAGUGGAAGCUAGCCAUGGAGGAAGAGAUGAAAUCUCUCCAUCAAAACCAGACUUGGGAACUUGUAAAGUUACCAAAGGGGAAAAGGGCUAUUGGCAAUAAAUGGGUCUACACCAAAAAGCAAGGAUCUCCGAAUCAAACAACUCCUCGAUACAAGGCAAAGCUCGUGGCAAAAGGUUUUGCUCAAAAGGAAGGUAUUGACUACAAUGAAGUUUUCUCUCCAGUUGUAAAACAUACUUCCAUUCGUAUCUUACUUGCCUUAGUUGCAGAAUAUGAGUUAGAGUUGGCUCAGUUGGAUGUUAAGACGGCGUUCUUACAUGGAGAUUUGAAGGAGGAAAUAUAUAUGAUUCAGCCUUGUGGUUUCAGAGUUGCUGAAAAGGAGAAUCAUGUGUGUAGGUUGAUUAAAUCUUUGUACGGAUUGAAGCAAUCGCCAAGGCAGUGGUACAAAAGAUUUGAUCAAUUUAUACAAGGGCAGAAAUUCACCAGAAGUGAACACGAUCAUUGUGUUUACUUUAGAAGACUACCAGAUGGAGCUUUCAUCUAUUUGUUACUCUAUGUCGACGAUAUGCUUAUAGCUUCGAAGAAUAGAGAUGAGAUGAAAGACUUGGGUGAUGCACAAAGAAUACUUGGGAUGGAGAUUCAUAGAGACAAGAAGAAUGGGAGCGUAUGGUUGACUCAAAAGUCUUAUUUGAAGAAAGUGCUAGAAAGGUUCGGUAUGGAUGACAAAACUAAACCGGUAUGUACACCCCUAGCUCCUCAUUUCAAAUUAAGCUCUUCUUCAUGUCCUAGAUCUCAAGAGGAGCGCGAUUACAUGGCUCGUGUUCCAUAUGCUAGUGUUGUGGGUAGUCUUAUGUAUGCUAUGGUAUGCACAAGGCCCGAUAUAUCUCAAGCAGUGAGCAUGGUUAGUAGAUACAUGCACAAUCCGGGUAAAAAUUAAUGGCUUGAGGUAAAGUGGAUUCUCCGAUAUCUGUAUGGGACAGUUGAUGUUGGGUUAUUGUUCAAGAAUGAUUGUGGUCAACAAUGUGUUGGGUAUUGUGAUUCUGAUUUCGCUGGAGACCUUGACAAGCGAAGAUCAACAACGGGCUACGUAUUCACAUUGGGUGGAGGUCCGGUUAGCUGGAGGUCGAUUCUACAAUCGACAAUUGCUCUGUCCACUACGGAAGCAGAGUAUAUGGCAGCAACUGAAGCUGUAAAAGAAGCUAUCUGGUUGAAAGGCUUGUUAGGUGAUUUGGGAGUAAUCUAGGAGAACAUUGCGGUCUUCUGUGAUAAUCAAAGUGCGAUAUUCCUUGCGAAGAAUCAAACAUAUCACGCUCGGACGAAGCACAUAGAUGUGAAAUAUCAUUAUGUGAGAGAGAUUAUCGAGAGCGGUGUUGUGUUGUUGAGAAAGAUCGAUACCAAAGAUAAUCCAUCAGAUAUGUUGACGAAGGUAGUUUCUGGAGUUAAGUUUCAACAUUGCUUGAAAUUAAUUCAAAUCCUUCAAUUGUGUUAAGAUAUGUCCUUCGGGAAUUUUGAACUACGGUUGGCUUGAUCCCAAAUUUUGGGUACGUAGGCAGUCAUAGAGAUGCAGCCACUUUGGGGAUGAUGGUUCAUUGGUAGUCGGCUCAGAUUUGAACAAAUCUUCGCCGAGGUGGAGAAUUAUUGAAAAGUCAAAGAAGAGCUUGCCAAUUUCAAGGUUGGUAGCACGAUUCAACAAAUUGUUGGUUACACCAACAAUUGUAGAGAUUUUUCAAGCCGAAAAGAAAGAAUGGACAAAGGGGAUGGAUUUGGAAAAUAAUAAUAAUUAAAAAUUAUAUUUUUAAUUAUUUUAUUCUUUGCAUAGUAAUUCAUUUCUCCUAUAAAUAGCUAAGGAUUUCAUUCAUUUGAAAUCAUCCCAAAAUUGUUAAGCUUAUAAGCUUCUAAGCUUUUGAGAGAAGUAAGAGAAGUGAGAGAAGUGUGUCUGGGGAAUUUAUCUUUCCUGCAGAGUGUGAGAGUACUGGGUAUAUUUGGGUUUAUGGGGAGUGAGAUUCGUUACUCAAAUAUUUUAUUAUAUUAAUUGUUAAAUAAACAAUUAUUCUUUUUUGCCUCCGUGGAUGUAGGUUUAAUUACCGAACCACGUAAAUUCUUGUGUCCUUUAUUUUUUCAGUAAUUUUUUGGUGCUCUUGAUUCCGCAUUCCGCGCACAACAAAUGAAACAUUAAUUCUCAUUGGAUAAUCAACAUAUACUUGUUUUAGAGUCCUCAGGUGGACGACUUUUGAGGUUUUGUGUCCUUUUUUGUUAUAUUGCUGGUUCUUGAGGUAAAUAAAUCCAGGAUUCCUGAAACUGAACAUUCCUGUCUGAAACUUUCAAUAUCCAAAUUCAGUCAUGCAAUACAACUACACUAUUUUAAAUCAAUUAUAUGGUUUCAGUUUCAGAUUUUGUAUUUCCAGCAUAAAUAAUCAUGCAAGCUUUUGAUGCCCAAAAGACCAUUGUUCGAUUUUUUCUUACCCCUUCUACCCCCUCCCCCCGCAUUUUCAAAUCAUCCAUAACUUUUCUGCAAUGUUCAGCCUGUGGAAAGGUAAUUUUAUCAGUGCAAGUGCUAGCAUUGUUCAUUUCUUCAGAUAGCCAUUUGCUGCGUCUAAAAAUUCAUGCUGUGUUCACUGAUGAAGGCAACUAGGAGUCAACGUCUAUUUAGAUCAGGAAAAUGACUUGUGUGGUGUGAAUUUACACAUGAAAUUCAAUUGGCAUAUUUGUCACUUGUCAGGCUCAAUGGACCCCUUUCAAAUUUCACUUUAGAAUAUUUAUUUAUUUUUUAUCUAAAGAUAAGGAUUUAAUUACACAAAAUUCAGCCUCACGAAAGUCAUACAAAAUGCGAUCAGUGAAAUACAUUCAGGAUUAACAAUCGCAUUGAUCAACCAAAUACAUCCCUUGGUUUAUAAGUUCUGAUAUGGAAAUUUCUUGAACAACAGAUUUUCCCAGCGGUGAUUUCCUUGCGAGAAAUUCUUGAGAUAUGCGUUGCAUUGUAGGUCGAGCCUUGGGUUUUGACUGCAAGAAUGCAAAUGCGACUGUUGAAACAAGAAUAAUAUCAUGAACAACCCUUCGAUCAACUGAAAAUGGGAGACGUUGGUCUAAAACAUCGAUCAACCUAAUCUUCCGACCAGAUGAUGACGAUAAAGAUGAAAGAAGAUCUGUUGGAUGACUUCCCAUUUUAUCUGUUGGAAAAGGCUGCCAAGAGUCGUGUCGCAUUUAAUUGCGGAUGAGGUGAUGUGGCAGAGAUCCACCCCUUCAUUUUGAAUUUAAAACCGACGGUUACGAGACCCUCGGGAUUCGGUGCUGUUAAAUGCUGGCUAUCCAAGGGUUUUUCUUCCAAUAAGGUAACCCAAAACCUCUCGAAGGGAAAUUAGCCAUUUCCACCGUCUCUGUCCCUGUCUCUCCGGCGAAGAAGUUUCGGCAUAAAAGCCCCCAUCCUUGCCUUUCUCCGACUGAAACAAUACUUCAGGUAUUACUUCUUUCUCCUCGGUCUCGGAUAGUUUGUAGAUAACUUCUUUUUUCUUUGUUUUGCUUGGGGUAGUAGUUGGUGGUGGUGUUUUGGUUAUUACCUAGGGAAUGUCGAAGGGUAAGGAGAAAGUCGUUGAGAUUGAUGACGACGAACUAGGUUUCUUGCCUGGUCUGCUCACUGAUCCUGCUUUUGACCCCGAGAUCCCCUUAGAACCCAUUAGGUUUAGUGUCAGGACUAGUGCUAGGAGGAUGUCCCCCCAAACAACCUCCACGAGCGGAAGCAAUGGUGAGGAGGGACCUUCUGGCUCUGAGGACACCUUAAGUGAGAAUGGGGAAGGUGACUUUGGUGAGGUGUCUCCAUCUGGAACAUCACGACCAGAAGAACGGGGUACAGUAGGAGGCAGAGCCUUGUCGCGUGAUUAUGCCAUUGAUUACAUGACGUGCACGACCUCGUUUGACGAGCUCAAUGACCUCCGGCUUAGGUAUAGCAUUCCUGGUGAGAUACCUCUCAAGGUCCCAGGAAAGAAGGAUGCUCUCAGCCGGCCUCCUAGGGGAUACGUUACCCUGUUUCUAGAGAGCUUUAAGUACGGGCUGAGGUGUCCCUUGCAACCCUACUUUGCCCGGAUACUUAACGGGCUAAAUUUAGCUCCUGGUCAGCUGAAUCCCAAUGGGUGGAGAGUGCUCUCUGGUCUGUUCAUAUUGUGGGACAGAUAUUGCCAAAGCGAGCCCACGGUUGAUGAGGUGAAGCACCUGUACCAGCUAAAGAGCAGCCCCAAAGAUGCCGGCUGGUACUACUUCCAAUCUAGCACCAAAAGCCGGAAACCCAUAACUGAUCUUCCAACUGGUGGUGGUAGGACUUGGAAGAGGAAAUUCUUUUUUGCUGGGGGUCCUUGGGGUCAAGUUGCACAAAUAGACGGGAAGGAUUGUCGCAUCCCACCCCGUUUCACGAUCCCAGGUUGCCUGCUCGCUUUAGAUGUCUUGUAUGCAUAAUUGUUCUUGCUUUAUUGGCUUGUCUCUAACUAAGUGUCUGUUUGUGUUGUAGUUUCUUGGGGUGUUCACUUCCCGCUCCAACCUGACCAGCUCAAACGGGUCGAGGCUGUACUAGCCAAUUCCUGCUCGAGCCGAGAACUGCUAACUACUUACAACUUGCUCGAGUCUCGCUUGGUACUUCUUGGCCAUAAGAUGGAGGACGCCGUGAUUGGGGCUCUGAACAGGAAACGUUCUCGACCUCAAACCACGAAGAGGGACCAGAACAAGGAUGCCCCUACUGCAAAGCGGGCCAACAUCGUGCAGCAGGUCUCUCCCUUGAAGACUUUACCUCCUCCUUCUGCCAAACUCGGCGAGACCAGUGGAGCAGCUGUUAACAUAUAUGUUUCCAUAAUAUUGAUUUUGAUGAUAACAAACAAGAUUAAGAAUGAUUAAUCUUUUAAGCUCAAAUUAUUUAAUAUUCUUUUUAAAUAAAUCAUUAUUUUCACAUUAUAAAUGUUUUAUAUUUAAUGGAAAAAUGAUUUUAUGAAAUUGAUUGUUUUGAUUCUUUUUAAAUAAAUCAUUAUUUUCACAUUAUAAAUGUUUCAUAUUUAAUGGAAAAAUGAUUUUUUGAAAUUGGUUGUUUUUCAAAGUUUAUGGUUUAAUUGAAACAUUUUGAAAACUUUGAAAUAAACAAGUAUUGCUUGAAAUUUUGGUGAAGGACUUAUUUGAAAAGUGUCAUAGCAUUUUGGGCUAUAACAUAAUUUCAAAAAGUUUUGGGAUUAACAAAGCAUUACUUAGAAAUUCUGAAAUUGGACCUAUUUGUAAAGUUUCAUAACGUUUUGGGUUAUAGUACAGUUUUGUAAAGUUUUGGGAUCAAACUGUAAUUUCAGAAAAUAGUGCACUGUGCAGAUUAUUGUAGCAAUCACUGUAGCAAACGGCUAACUGUUUAUUUAAAAACGGCUAACCGUUUAUUUAAAAAAGGCUAACCGAUAAUUUCCAAAAAGCAUGUUCUGCAAAGUAUUGUUAAAAUGAUGAUUCUGGAAACUAACGGUGAACCGUUUACUGAAAACGGUUAACCGAUUAUUUCUAGAUUGCUAACUUUGAACCGUUUAGUAAGAACGGUUAAACCAAAUUUGUUUUACAGGUCUGUGGAAAUUAACGGCGAAAGGGUAAGCCUAAACGGCUAACCGUUUAUUUGAAAAUUGGCCCAAACGGUAACUUUGACCGGCCUAAACGGUUAACCGUUAAUGGUUAACGGCGAACCGUUUUCGGGCAGACAGUCUAUAACGGCUAGUUUUUCAGCUCCAACUAUAAAUAAGCUCAAUCCAAUUCAAACAAGAGGAUUUCCAACGAUCAUCAUUGAGCAAAAUAUUGAGAAUACAACUUUCAUUGAGCUUUAAAUCCUUGUAUUCAUCUCAUUCAUUCACACAUUGAGCUUUCAUUUGUGAUCAAACACAUUGUGUGAGAGAGAUUCAUUUGUAAUCCUUUUUAUAAAAUCAAGUUAAAAGAUUGUAAGUGUUGGGAUACACUUGGGUUAAGAGAUUGGGGAUAAUCUCUUGUUGUAAAGGUCCAUUGACACCUUGGAAGUCAAUUGUAAGCGUUUGAAGCCUUGGGAGGCUAGCUUAGUGAAAUCCUCAAGCCCGGUGAGCUUGGAGGCGUGGACGUAGGCGGGGAUUGCCGAACCACGUAAAAAUCAUUGUGUUUGUUUUCUCUUCCCUUACUCUUUUAAUAUUGUGCAUGAUUGAAUUUAUUGUUUUUAAUUUGAUUAAGGCAAUAGAUUAAAUUGUUGUGUGGUUUGCCUAGGAUAAUUUUUAAAAUCUCAAUUCACCCCCCCUCUUGGGUUGCCUAGUUAGUAUUUCAGCAGCCACUGAUCCUGCUUCCUCUUCGCCUCCUGUCGGGCAUAGAUCUCGUUUACCUGACAGCCGAGCAGAACACUUGGACCCCUAUCUCAACAAGCUUUCCAAACUCGUGAGCAAGAAGGACCUCGAGGACUUUGAUGGCUGCACCUUAGGCGAGCUGGUGGGGGCCAUGCAGUAUAGCGCUUUCCAUCUCAGCUGCAUGACCACCUACUAUAAGGCCAAGGUUGGCCGUUAUGACAGGAAGAUGAAGGAGGACAUUCAGUCGGCGACGACCAGAGCUGACGUUGCUGAGAAGAAAGUAGGGGACUUAAACCUCGAGAAUCUGAAGUUGAUUGAGCGAGAAUCUCUUGCUCAAGCCAAGGCUAUUACUCUCGAGGAAGAGCUGGCCAAGGUCAAGGAAGAUCUGCAAAGGCAGAAAGCUAUGUACGAGGCUCAGCUCGAAUCUCUCCGUGAUUCCCACCGGGUUCAGGUCGAGAACUUAGAGAAUGGGGCUGACAACCAGUACAACCAGGGACUUCGGCAUUCCUAUCGUUGCAUCAUGGCAGUCCUUGGGAAGCAACACCCUGAUCUGAAGAUGGAUGACCUUGCAACUGGUGUUGCUCAAUAUAUGGACGAGGAGGCGGCCAAGGAAGACGCUAAAGGGGUAGAGCCGAUCGUGAUUGAGGAGGAAAACUCUCCUCCUCGUGCAGUACCUGCUGGUGUUGGCGAGGCGAGCACCCCCUCGGACGCAACUAGUGAUACCCCCCUGCACCUGAGGAGGUCCAGCCAACCGAUGCUGCUCGGUUUACUGAUCCACCAUCUUCUUGAUAUAUUUCUUGUAUUGUAAUGAACAAUGUUUGUGAAGAUUAUCUCCUCUGUUAAUUAUUAACAAAUUAAUAAAAAUGUUUUUGAUUACUUUCUUGUGUUGUAAUCAUGAGUUAUUUUUCGUUUGAGAAUCUGCUCGUCUUUGUCUGGUCGAGCCGGUUCUGGCUUGGCACAUGGUUUUGCCACAUGCCUUUGAAAACUCUUCAAUGCUUGGGAUUCUGCUCGCCUUCGCGUGGUCGAGCAGAUCCUGGCAUGCUUGGCUUCUGGUCUCGCCAUAAAACAAGCUUUGAGACUUGGUGAGCCUUUGCAUGCCUUAGGAAUUUUUUCGAAUGCUUUGGAGUCUACUCGCCUUCUCGUGGUCGAGCAGAUCCUGGCACGCUUGGCUUUUGUCUCGCCAUAAAACAGGCUUUGAGACUUGGUGAGCCUUUGCAUGCCUUAGGAAUUUUUUCGAAUGCUUUGGAGUCUGCUCGCCUUCUCGUGGUCGAGCAGAUCCUGGCACGCUUGGCUUUUGUCUCGCCAUAAAACAGGCUUUGAGACUUGGUGAGCCUUUGCAUGCCUUAGGAAUUUUUUCGAAUGCUUUGGAGUCUGCUCGCCUUCUCGUGGUCGAGCAGAUCCUGGCACGCUUGGCUUCUGUCUCGCCAUAAAACAGGCUUUGAGACUUGGUGAGCCUUUGCAUGCCUUAGGAAAUUUUCACAGUUUCAAGCGAAUGAAAUUCCUCGACGUUUCAUUAAUGGCAGGAUUCAACUUACAUGAAAUUAUUUGGACAUAAAACAUAAAAGAUAAACGAUAAUGAACACGAGCAGAAAUAGCUUUCAAAUGUGAACAAUUCUUACUGGAAGUAUUUUCGGAGGUGUCCAAGCAAACACAUCUGCAUGAGCCUGUAAGCAUUUCACCAACUCCUGCUUUUGCUCUCCCUUAAGUCUCGACCCGAUUCUGAUUGUCUUUCCCGGAUUCUCUGGUCCCAGGCUUACUGUUUCCAGAUCCUCUACAGGUUCUUGUCUGCCAUUCUUGUUUUCCACUCGGGUAUCGAGGGAUGUUAUCUGCAUUGCUUCCCUUGCUGCCGAGGAGUAGCAGCUUCUUGCGAUCCUCUGGUCUCCUCGUACCACUCCAACUACCCCAUUCACCCGGUACUUCAGAGCCAGAUAAUGGUUGGACAGUACCGCUUUGCUCAUCUUCAGAAAUGACCUACCUAGGAUCAUCUGGUAAGGACCUUCCUCAUCCACUACCACAAAGUCCAGUAUCAUUGUCCUUUCUGUCGGGGAGCCCCCAAUCGUGAUAGGCAGCUCGACCACGCCCAGAGGGACCAGCUUUCCUCCUCCAAACCCCUUCAAGGAGGUAUUGGUGUAAUCCAACUUCAGGUCUGCUAUUCCCAUCUCGUCCAGGGUUGACUUAAACAACACAUCAAUUGAACUCCCUGUGUCAACCAGUAUCCUGUCAAACUUCUUGCUAGCAACAGUGGCCUUGAUGACCAAAGCAUCCUCGUGGGGGUAUAGAAUCCCUUCCUCAUCCUCAGCUGUCCACAUGAUUGGCACUUGCCUGACUCUUGCACGUUUGGCUGCUGGGGUGUUGAAGAAUACCUCUUUGCUGGUCAUGGCGUAUCUAGCAUAAUUCUUCCUCGACCUGUUGGAAUCUCCAGCCAAUGUUGGGCCCCCAGCUAUCACCCUUAUUGUAGGCUGCUCGCGCCUCAAGUUCCUGUCACUCUGCUCCCCUUCACUUGUCGAGGCUACCAUUGGGAAGGUCCCAUCUAUAAACUCGUCCAGAUACCGAUUUCUCACCAAAUCCUCAACCUGGGUCUUGAGAUCCCUGCAAUCUGCUGUGGUGUGGCCAUGAGUGCCAUGGAACUUACAAUAGCGCCCCAUAUCCCUCCUGCUGGGCAGCUUUGUUAUUGGGGCAGGGAGGUACAGCAACCCUCGAUCCUUUAUGGCCUCGUACACCUCAUCCAGGGACAUCUUCAAGGAGGUAUACCGCCCAUAGUCCUGGUUCUGGUCGAUCAGGUGCACUGCUCUUUCUCUGUUUGCUCCGUUCUGAGUUGGGGUCGGUGGCAGUACUUCUGGUCUGCUCCCUCUGCUACCGUGGGAAUGUUGAUGAAGGCCACCAUAUGCCGAAUCAUGCCUUCUCCAAGGCUCCCUAGCUAGGGAACGAGGAGGUUGCGCCCUGCUGCGCUAAUACUGUAGUGGCCUCUGAUGAGGCUGGUAAGCAGUUACCCGACCUCCUGCUCCACUACCCGAGGCCUGGUGGUCCCUCCUCCUGAUCGGGCCAUUCCCCGGUAAUGCUUUCUUCUCUUUCCUCCCCAACCCUUCUAACUGGUCUGUCUUAAUCCGUGUUGCCUUCUCCUCUUCAAUCUCAAUGUCUCUCUUAGCCUGCUCGUAUGCGGCCGUGUACGUCUGAAUAACUGGGCUUCUCAAGUUGUACCACAGCCGUCCUAUCUUCACCCCUUCUUUCAAUCCCCUUAACGCCUGAGGGUGGUUGAAGGCUCCCAAGUCGAGGACAGCACGAUGAAACCUCUUGAUGAAUUCUCGAAGGGUUUCUUGCUCCCCCUGUUUCAUGCUUUUCAGCUCCAUCAUGUCAUCUUCUGGUGCCAUUGCCCCACUAAACUGCUCUGCAAAUUCCUGGCACAUCUGCUCGAAGGUUUUAAUGCUGCCCCGAGGAAGUUUCCUGUACCACUCUCGUGCACGUCCCUCAAGGGAUAGUGAGAACACCCUGCACCUUUGGGAUUGAGAUAAUCCUUGUACCCCAGUUAUGUCGUUGAAGCGCUCUAUGUGCACCAGCAGAUCAGUUCUUCCCGAGUAUCUAAGGUCUGGGAGGCGGAAAUCUCUUGGAAUAAUUGCCCUCAUGAUCUCUGCUGCGAGCGGUGAUUCUCCGUCCAGCAUUAUCCUUCAACCAGGAGCUCUGCUCCUUCCUUGCAUGUCGUCAAUUAUCUGCGCUAGUCUGCGCACUUCCUCCUCCAGCUGCACUGCACGAGCAGGGUCACUUGCUGCAACUUGAUCCCUCUCUUGCUCCACAUCAUGCAAGUGUUGCCUCAACUCUGUUUCCUCUGCAUUCGCCACCCCGUCGUCCUCAUCAAAAAUCUGUCUUGCUGGGGACUGCUCUUCCUCUCUAUGAAAGUCUCCCCGCAGAGGUAUGUUACCUCUGUCACCACCAAAUCUCCCGGUGGUUUGACUUCUCCUCGCACUAUCGGGACCUGGUGCCACUCCGCCACCUCUCACCCUUUCCUCCUGGGUUACCCUUCGGUCGCUCCUCAGCUCAUGCAGGAUGGUUGUCAAGGUCUCCAUCUGCUUUUCCAUCCGUUCCAUCCGGUCGAACAUGGCUUUUUCCCGUGCUUCACUGGCUAUCUCCCUCAGCGUCACGGAAUCGUUAAGCCUCAUAUCACCCUCUUGUGCACUACUUCCUCCUGUCUCCAUUGCUUUUCAGUUGCUUCACUCCUCUUCUUGCUAUCAAUAGAAGCUUUUUUAUCAGCUCCCCACAGACGGCGCCAAAAUGUUGAUGCGAGAUUUUGGUUACGCUCUUUCUACUACCAGGAUAUCUGCUCGAUCAACCUCACCUCGACCAGGAUCUCUCCUAGUAUGCUUUCGUCUCCAAGUAUUCCUGCGUCCACAGAAACAAGUCAGAGCACGCCGGUUGUUUUCCCGGCGUAAACCCUCCGACGCUCAAGUCAGAUAUGAAGGUUCGGGGUACGCUUGCCACAGAUCUUAUGGCUUUUGGGUAGUUUUCUCUUCUUUAGAAUUUCUUUAAUCUAUGUCCUAAUUUCAAAAUUGCUAACCAUUUUACCUUCGUUGGCAACCUUUUUAUAGGCUUCCUCUGAAUCCCAGUUUUUCGCGGUCUACGCCCGUUAUCCUCCCACCUCUCGAACGUGGAUUCCCCAUUUCCGUAGUCGUGGGUGGUUGUGUGGCCUUCGUGCCUAGAUUCUCGGGCUGGAGAGCAUGCCUCGCCAACUGUCGUUGACCGGGUCUCCUCGAAUCAACCCUUAGCAAGAAUACAGCAGGAAUGGCUUUAUGCUUCUUACAGAAAAUUGGCCUCGCGGAUGACGUGCUCGUGGAUGAGCAGGAUAUUCCUGCCCCUGUUCCCCUGCUACCUGGCUCUUACAGGACACACCUGCUUGCAGACUUCUGCCACCAAACAUCUGCUCAUCACGUCUGGUCUCGUCGGAGUAUUUCCCUCAAACAAUUCUCAUUGGAUAAUCAACAUAUACUUGUUUUAGAGUCCUCAGGUGGGCGACUUUUGAGGUAAAUAAAUCCAGGAUUCCUGAAACUGAACAUUCGUGUCUGAAACUUUCAAUAUCCAAAUUCAGUCAUGCAAUACAACUACACUAUUUUAAAUCAAUUAUAUGGUUUCAGUUUCAGAUUUUGUAUUUCCAGCAUAAAUAAUCAUGCAAGCUUUUGAUUCCCAAAAGACCAUUGUUCGAUUUUUUCUUACCCCUUCUACCCCCUCCCCCCGCAUUUUCAAAUCAUCCAUAACUUUUCUGCAAUGUUCAGCCUGUGGAAAGGUAAUUUUAUCAGGGCAAGUGCUUGCAUUGUUCAUUUCUUCAGAUAGCCAUUUGCUGCGUCUAAAAAUUCAUGCUGUAUUCACUGAUGAAGGCAACUAGGAGUCAACGUCUAUUUAGAUCAGGAAAAUGACUUGUGUGGUGUGAAUUUACACAUGAAAUUCAAUUGGCAUAUUUGUCACUUGUCAGGCUCAAUGGAUCCCUUUCAAAUUUCACUUUAGAAUAUUUAUUUAUUUUUUAUCUAAAGAUAAGGAUUUAAUUACACAAAAUUCAGCCUCACGAAAGUCAUACAAAAUGCGAUCAGUGAAAUACAUUCAGGAUUAACAAUCGCAUUGAUCAAUCAAAUACAUCCCUUGGUUUAUAAGUUCUGAUAUGGAAAUUUCUUGAACAACAGAUUUUCCCAGCGGUGAUUUCCUUGCGAGAAAUUCUUGAGAUAUGCGUUGCAUUGUAGGUCGAGCCUUGGGUUUUGACUGCAAGCAUGCAAAUGCGACUGUUGAAACAAGAAUAAUAUCAUGAACAACCCUUCGAUCAACUGGAAAUGGGAGACGUUGGUCUAAAACAUCGAUCAACCUAAUCUUCCGACCAGAUGAUGACGAUAAAGAUGAAAGAAGAUCUGUUGGAUGACUUCCCAUUAAUACUUCUAGUGCCACUACGCCAAAGCUAUAAACAUCACAUUUCUCUGUCACAGCCAUGGUGUAGGCAAGUUCUGCAACAAAAUAGAACCCAUUGUAGAAUUUCAUUGCACAAGUAAACAACACAAAAAAAAAAAAAAAAAAAGAAUAAGCAUUUGAUUAUCUGUUUCUGAAAGCUUCUGCAGCUAGAUAUUUAAGAGAUAUCUGAUUGAUUUUUAAAUACAUUCAAUGUAUAAACACGAGUAAGAAGCAUGAAAAGAAUAGAUAAAGGUUACCUGGAGCAAUAUAUCCAUAUGUUCCCACCACUAGAGUUCUGUUGGAGGAAUCUGGAUGUAGGAGCCUAGCCAAACCAAAAUCAGCAACAAAUGCCUCUAGGUUUGAAUUAAGUAGAAUGUUAUUGCUGGAUAUGUCGCGGUGAACAAUUGAUGGCUUGCAGUCAUAAUGCAGGUAAGACAAAGCAUGAGCCAUGCUCUUUACAAUGUUCACUCUCUUUGUCCAAUCCAACUCAACUGCUUCAACAUCAUUGCGUAACACACAAAACAAGCUUCCCCUCUCCAUGUACUCAUAGAUCAAAAACAUGCACUUGUUGUGCAAACAGAAACCAUAAAGCUUCACUAUAUUACGAUGCCGUAUUUGGGACAGUAGACGAGCUUCGGUUUGGAAACUUUCCAGGAAAGCUGGCUCCUCUGUCUCUGAACGGUGAAGUUUCUUCAAAGCAACUAGUUUUCCACUAGAC